AAAAUGGAGAGUUUGAUCCUGGCUCAGGAUUAACGCUGGCGGCGUGCCUAAUACAUGCAAGUCGAACGGGAUAUACCUUCGGGUAUAUCCAGUGGCGAACGGGUGAGUAAAACAUAGGUAACCUGCCCUUAAGACGAGGAUAGCCAUUGGAAACGAUGGAUAAUACUGGAUAGGAUAAUUAGAAGCAUUUGUAAUUAUUUAAAGGAGGAAUCCGCUUAAGGAGGGGCCUGUGGCGCAUUAGCUAGUUGGUAGAGGUAAAGGCCUACCAAGGCGAUGAUGCGUAGCCGGACUGAGAGGUUGAACGGCCACAAUGGAACUGAGAACGGUCCAUACUCC
rnacentral:rRNA from 1 species